rnacentral:rRNA from 1 species
GAUGAACGCUGGCGGCGUGCCUAAUACAUGCCAGUCGAGCGAACAGACGAGGAGCUUGCUCCUCUGACGUUAGCGGCGGACGGGUGAGUAACACGUGGAUAACCUACCUAUAAGACUGGGAUAACUUCGGGAAACCGGAGCUAAUACCGGAUAAUAUAUUGAACCGCAUGGUUCAAUAGUGAAAGACGGUUUUGCUGUCACUUAUAGAUGGAUCCGCGCCGCAUUAGCUAGUUGGUAAGGUAACGGCUUACCAAGGCAACGAUGCGUAGCCGACCUGAGAGGGUGAUCGGCCACACUGGAACUGAGACACGGUCCAGACUCCUACGGGAGGCAGCAGUAGGGAAUCUUCCGCAAUGGGCGAAAGCCUGACGGAGCAACGCCGCGUGAGUGAUGAAGGUCUUCGGAUCGUAAAACUCUGUUAUUAGGGAAGAACAAAUGUGUAAGUAACUAUGCAUGUCUUGACGGUACCUAAUCAGAAAGCCACGGCUAACUACGUG